AUUGAACGCUGGCGGCAGGCCUAACACAUGCAAGUCGAACGGUAACAGGAAGCAGCUUGCUGCUUCGCUGACGAGUGGCGGACGGGUGAGUAAUGUCUGGGAAACUGCCUGAUGGAGGGGGAUAACUACUGGAAACGGUAGCUAACACCGCAUAACGUCGCAAGACCAAAGAGGGGGACCUUAGGGCCUCUUGCCAUCGGAUGUGCCCAGAUGGGAUUAGCUAGUAGGUGGGGUAACGGCUCACCUAGGCGACGAUCCCUAGCUGGUCUGAGAGGAUGACCAGCCACACUGGAACUGAGACACGGUCCAGACUCCUACGGGAGGCAGCAGUGGGGAAUAUUGCACAAUGGGCGCAAGCCUGAUGCAGCCAUGCCGCGUGUAUGAAGAAGGCCUUCGGGUUGUAAAGUACUUUCAGCGGGGAGGAAGGGAGUAAAGUUAAUACCUUUGCUCAUUGACGUUACCCGCAGAAGAAGCACCGGCUAACUCCGUG
rnacentral:rRNA from 1 species